CGCACACACACACACACACAGACACAGCAUUAGCAGCUCACAUAUGCUAGAGAAGCCUUCUCCUUAAAUGGUCAAAGCUCCCAGGAGCCAGAGUGAGGCUGCUUGAGAACGGGGCAGAGGAGCGGCGGCGGUGGGAGGCCGGUGACGGUUUAGAGCGCUCGCUCGGCUGUGCUGCGCCGUCUUCUGUGUCAGGCCAACUGCGACAGUACUCCACUCUUUGGGUUAAUGGCAGCGGGCAGACCCCCCUGCCCUUAGCUGACCUCAGCCCAGGCCACGGCUCUCCAGAGUCACCUUUAGAAUUCCCUUCUGAAGGCCUAGCAGUUGAGACAGCAUCCGUGCCGGCGGAACCUCGGCCCACAUCCGCGGCCUGUCGGGAUCAUGUGGCAGGGUCUGAAGCCUUAGGCUGUUUCAACUACGAUCAAUCACAGGAAAGAGGGCAGAGCCAACCCCCUGAGGACCGUGAUACUGGACACCCUGAAGCCCUAGAGCUCCUGUCUCACAACUGUCCUGAUACAGGGACAACCCGGGGGUCAGAUUGUGAGGAGCGUGAGAGGAGUCAAGCUGGGGUCAGUGGGAGGAGCCACGUUUCAGAUCGACAACACAGCUUUUGUACAGAGCAGGUAGCAGUAGAAGUCACCUUGUGCUGUGGAUCAGGACCACUAACUGACCAGACAUCUAAAGAUUGCACCCCACAUUGCACCCCAGUCAAAUCUCAGCCUCCACUCCAGUCUCGCAGGCGUCCUC
rnacentral:lncRNA from 1 species